GAUGAACGCUGGCGGCGUGCCUAACACAUGCAAGUCGAACGAACCUGAUCUUCGGAAAAGGUUAGUGGCGCACGGGUGAGUAACACGUAGGUGACCUGCCCCGGAGUGGGGGAUAACUUCUCGAAAGAGAAGCUAAUACCGCAUAGGCUCGAUCAUUCAUUUGACCGAGUAAAGUUCCGGCGCUUCGGGAGGGGCCUGCGUCCGAUUAGCUAGUUGGUGAGGUAAUGGCUCACCAAGGCUAUGAUCGGUAGCUGGUCUGAGAGGAUGAUCCGCCACACUGGAACUGAGACACGGUCCAGACUCCUACGGGAGGCAGCAGUGGGGAAUUUUGGACAAUGGGCGCAAGCCUGAUCCAGCCAUGCCGCGUGAGUGAAGAAGGCCUCGGUUGUAAGACGUCUUUCGUCCGGGACGGAAAGUACGCACGGGUUAAGUACCUACGUGUGGAGUGA
rnacentral:rRNA from 1 species